AGCCAGACAAUUUCCUCACGGCCGCGCGGAGCCGUCCCCGGCGCGUUCCCGUCAGCCAGGCGCGCCGAGCCAUCCCCGGCGCGCUCCCGUCAGCCAGGCGCGCUCCUCCGAGCCGCGCGGAGCCGUCCCCGGAGCGCUCCCGUCAGCCAGGCGCGCUCCUCCGAGCCGCGCGGAGCCGUCCACGCGCGCUCCCGUCAGUCAGGCUCGCUCCUCCGAGCCGCGCGGAGCCGGCGCCGGCGCGCGCCGGGCAGUCUGAGGGAGGCCGGUCAGAUCUGCGCGGCGAGGCCGCUGGUCGCGACAGGGUUUCCCGGCGCUCCGGGGCUGAGGGGCUUCAGCCCAGCGGCGCCGGCGCUUGCCCUAGCCGGGGCACCGAGGACUAGGCCGUGGGGCCGCGCCCUGAGUGCAGAAAGAGAAUGAAAGAAGUAGAUAAUCUUGACAGUAUAAAAGAAGAAUGGGCUUGUGAAACAGGACCUCCUGACAGUCAACCCCUCAAUGAUAAUCAACAAAAGGACUGUGAAUAUUUUGUUGACAGCCUUUUUGAGGAAGCAGGGAAGGCUGGUGCCAAAUGCUUGUCCCCCACUGAACAGAAGAAACAGGUAGAUGUAAAUAUAAAAUUGUGGAAAAACGGAUUCACUGUCAAUGAUGAUUUUAGAAGUUACUCUGAUGGUGCAAGUCAGCAGUUUCUGAACUCCAUCAAAAAGGGGGAAUUACCUUCAGAAUUAUGGGGAAUUUUUGAUAAAGAGGAGGUGGAUGUUAAAGUUGAAGAUAAGAAAAAUGAAGUAUGUAUGUCUACAAAGCCUGUGUUCCAGCCCUUCUCAGGACAGGGCCACAGACUAGGAAGUGCUACACCAAGAAUCGUUUCUAAAGCAAAGAGUGUUGAAGUUGACAAUAAAAGUACUUUGUCUGCUGUUUCACUGAACAACUUGGAGCCCAUUACCAGGAUCCAGAUCUGGUUAGCCAAUGGGGAAAGAACUGUCCAAAGAUUUAAUGUUUCUCAUAGGGUGAGCCACAUCAAAGACUUCAUUGAAAAAUACCAAGGAUCUCAGAGAAGCCCUCCCUUUGCCCUGGCAACAGCUCUUCCUUUCCUCAGGUUUCUGGAUGAAACGCUCACAUUGGAAGAAGCAGAUUUGAAGAAUGCUGUAAUCAUUCAGAGACUCCAAAAAACUGCCGAGCCUUUUAGAAAACUUUGAUAGUUUUUAUUUUUGAGAGACUGAGAAAAAUGAUGGUUGCAAGUAGACAUGCAGAGUGGGAGACAGAAGUCAAUGUGACUAAACUUGCGGUUUGAGGGCUUCUCAAUCCCUUAUGAGGGGGUUCAGUCGUCACAAGCUAGGAGAGUGACAUGGCUCUAAGCCAGGGUCAGUGCAUUUUUCUCAACAGGCUAUUCAGAAAAAAAUACCUAUUUUUCAAAUAUUAGUUAGCCAAUAUGACAUUAAAUAGCUGUGUCAUUAAUCUUAAUGUGGUCUAAAUUAGCAGAGUAUUCAAUUAGCUAAAUCAGCAUCAGCAUUCAAAUAUUAUCUCCAAACAGCAGAUAUUUAUAUAAAUGUUAGCUAUCUCAGUUUUUAAAUAGCAAUACAUCAAAAUAUUAUCCAUGCCAUAUUAAAAGCAUCAAUGUAGUUAUUGCCCGUGCUUCAUCCUCGGAGCUUUUCAGUUUCUACUUGUGAUGGCAAAAGAUACUCAAAUACUCAUUUGGCAACAGUAUCCAAGAUGUAGACUCUUCUCGGAAUAAAAUUGUGUAGCUUAGUAUAAUAUCAAUACUAAUCUAUAUACACAGUUUUCUAUACCUUCUACAUGUAAUUUUAUGGACUGGGAAUGUAGUUCAGUGGUAGGGAUUAUUUGCCAUACAUACAUGAGACUAGUUUAAAUCCAUCCCAGCACUACAAAAAAAUCCUUUCAAUUUGUAAUGUAAAAGCACACACAAAAAAAAUUCUUCAAAGCUGGGUGGUGGUAGUGGCAAAGCAGGCCUUUAGUUUAAUCCUAGCACUUUGGAGGCAGAGGCAGGAGGAUCUCUGAGUUCAAGGACAGCCUGUCCUACAGAGCUAACUAACUUCCAGGGUUACACAGAGAAACCCUGUCUAGAAAAAACUAUAGAAAAGUUUUCAAAUCUUUACUCAUUUAAAAGGAACUUUGAAACUGCCCACAGGUGUAUGCCCUAGCUCUAGCUCACACCAAGCUGAGAGGAGAGGAGCCCAGGAGUUUGGUCAGCAUAAGAGACAUAGCAAAACCCUGUCUCUUGAUAGUAACAACCUUCCCACCCGGAGACAUAGAUGGCUCAGCUGUUAAGAACACUGGCUGCGCCAGGCGGUGGUGGCGCACGCCUUUAAUCCCAGCACUCGGGAGGCAGAGGCAGGUGGAUUUGUGAGGCCAGUCUACAAAGUGAGUUCCAGGACAGCCAGGGCUACACAGAGAAACCCUCUCUCGAAAAACAAACAAAAAGCAAAACAAACAAACAAACAAACAAAAAAACACUGGCUGCCCUGGCUGUAGAUCCAGGUUCAAUUUCCAGCAUACACAUGGCAGUGCACAGCCAUAUGAAACUUCUGCUACAAGAUAUCCAACUCCCUCUUCUGGCCUCUGUGGUCACUGCACUCAAGUUAUACGUAGACAUACACGCAGACAAAAUAUCAUGCAUAUUAAACUAAUAAUUUUCAACGAGUGGAAAGAUUUAUAGAGAAAGGUGGUGUUGUAUUUCCUUUUCUCCAAAAAUGUAAUGUCUAACAAUGAAGAUAAAGAUUCUCACCUGGCUGGGUGUGGUUGUACAUGCCUUUAAUCCCAGCGCUCUGGAGGCAGAGGCAGGCGGAUUUCUGAGUUCAAGGACAGCCUGGUCUACAGAGUGAGUUCCAGGACAGCCAGGGCUAUACAGAGAAACCCUGUCUCGAAAAAAAAAAACAAAACAAAAAACCCACAAAAGAUUCUUACCUGUUUCACAUUCACUGUGAUGCAGUGUCACCUAGCUUAUAGUCUCUAGAAGACAACACUCCAUUUGUGGGAAUGAAAAAGAAACAUUUAACUAUAUGAUUAGAAAAGACAGUUUGACAAGGGGUCAUUUGGGAGUCCUGGCCAAACAUGGGAAUUCACACUGAUCACAAGCCCUUGAGAGGCUGAGGCAGGAGGAUUACUGUGAAGUCAGGGCCAGCUUGGGCUACAGAAUGAGAGUCUGUUUCCUGCCCCUGUCACAAGCAUUGUGCGUCACUGUCUGAGAUGGGUGACAGCUGCACUUGGAACCUUGAGUGACUCGUAGGUAUUUGGUGUAAAUGCAGGAAUUCUACCCUCGCCCGAGUCGGCCCCAUAUGCUUCACCAAGGACAGAGAAUGGCUCCACCCAAGUGGUUUCCGCGGUUGAGCUUUAUCCCCUUGCCCAGUUUCCUCAGGCUCUGCCUUGCCUCCCAUCCGCCCAGGAGGAUGGAAAGUGUGAAUGAGGCUUUAAGGAAGACUCAGGAAGAACAAGAGGGAGCCUGUGUGCGUGUAUAACUAGAUGUCCUUUCUUUCAGCCCUUCCUUGUGCAAUCCUGUUUUAAAGAUGCUUUCUUCCCAGGCUUCCAUGCCAGACUUCUGUAUUUUGGGUGGGCUUUGUGUAAUAGAGAAUGAAAGAGAGCAUUUUAUUUUGCCCUUUACCUAUGAAAUCAGCAUGUAUAUAAUAGAAAAAUUAAAUAUUUGUCAAUAACAUUUACACAACACUAUCAGAGUCCCUUUUAGCAAUAUAAACAAUUCAUUAACAAGAAAGGGGAUAGUAAAAUCAAUGGUUUUAUUUUUCAGAUAUAGGCAAAAACUUUUGAUUGUUAAUAUGUUCAGGAAUCUCUAUGGAAAUGUUUCAUAUAGGCCUAUCCUGAAACCUUUCUAUUUACAUAGUUAUAAUUGACAAAUGGUUCUCCAUAUUUUUAUGAGGAACCUCUCACAAGAAUGUUUCUUGUGUAUCUACAAAUAAGGCCUCCAGUCUCUAACCAGAAGGUAAAGUGGGGGUUCUUGUGUGUCCAUGUAGAGUACUUGCCAGGGAAAUGUUCCACUAGGAAGGUAAAGUGGGGGUUCUUGUGUGUCCGUGUAGAGUACUUGCCAGGGAAAUGUUCCACUAGGAAGAACAAUCAUCAGCAAUAAGUUGCAUUUUUUAAAACUGUGAAAAUGUUAAUGUAAAUAAUGUUUGCAAAGAUUUCCUUAAAGAUAAUCACCUGAUAAAUCUUUUUACUUGAAAAUUCAAAAGUUAUAAAGUUGCUAGCAUAUAGACUCCUUAUUACAGGUUGAUUUUGAAAGGAUAAAUUGCCAAGGGAAGCAAAAUUUAAAGUAAGUGAACAUCUCAGGAGUAGAAUACAGGUUGACCCAAGUCAUUGCUCCAGAAUUGUCAUAGUCCGUUGUCUUGUUUUGCAGAUGAGAUAGACAUUGAAAUACAUAUCUGAUUGCACACAUCAUAAUUUACGAGUUAGAUUACUAUCACUAUCACAGCUAAAAUAGCCGUACUUCAUCACGACUCAUUCAGCAAACCUCAUGAUGUUUCCAUUCAUUGACAAUGUAGUAGUAUGUAUUUAUUUUAGUGCCUUAAUAUAUUUUUGAUGUAUUUGGCUAAUGGUAAAAUGAACUGUCUCUUGAAGAUAAAAUGCUGCUCACUGAAAGGAUCUGUUUAGUGAUUCACACUUGUUAUACGAUGGCUACUGGGAAUGCUUUCGUCGUGUUUUAUUUGGCCGAGUCCUACAGUUUGAGAAUCAGUGAUUGUCUGGUCUAGUGAUUAUUAGAUGUCUUUUCAUUAGCCAAUGUUGUUUUCAUUUCAUACUCAGAAAUGUGAAGAAGUGAUACUUUAGUGGCUGUCCAAUGGUUGUUAUUUAUUCUUUGCCCUAGCAUGGAGGCUUGUUUACAGUGUUCACUCCCUUGUACAUUUCUGCCACUUCAGUAAAAAGAUGCUCAUCACACUGGA